CAGCUCAGGGACCCUGAAACUGCCUCAGGGAACCCAAAACUGCCUCAGGGAACCCAAAAACAUCCUCAGGGAACUCAAAAACGCCUCAAGGAACCCAAAAUCACCUCAUGGACCAUGAAACUGCCUCGGGGAACCCAAAAACACCUCAGGGAACCCAAAACCAGCUCAGGGACCCUGAAAUCAUCUCAGGGAACCCAAAAACAUCUCAGGGAAUCCAAAAACAGCUUAGGGACCCUGAAACUGCCUCAGGGAACCCAAAACUGCCUCAGGGAACCCAAAACCGCCUUGGAGACCCCCAGAGUGUCCUCGAAACCACCUCAGGUCCCCCAGAGUGUCGCCAGCACCCCCUAAAGCUCCUCCCAAAAGUGUCCCCAAGGGCAAUGUCCCCUCCUGACCAGGUUGGGGACAUCCCUGGGGGUCAGCGUGACAGGUGACACAGGUGACAGCCCCCCCAAAGUGUCCCCAAGGGCGAUGUCCCCUCCUGACCAGGUUGGGGACAUUCUCGGGGGUCAGCAGGACAGGUGACACAGGUGACAGCCCCCCCAGAGUGUCCCCAAGGGCGAUGUCCCCUCCUGACCAGGUUGGGGACAUCCCUGGGGGUCAGCAGGACAGGUGACACAGGUGACAGCCCCCCCAGAGUGUCCCCAAGGGCGAUGUCCCCUCCUGACCAGGCUGGGGACAUUCUCGGGGGUCAGCAGGACAGGUGACACAGGUGACACAGGUGACAGCCCCCCCAGAGUGUCCCCAAGGGCGAUGUCCCCUCCUGACCAGGUUGGCCACGUUCUCGGGGGUCAGCAGGACAGGUGACACAGGUGACACAGGUGACAGCCCCCCCAGAGUGUCCCCAAGGGCGAUGUCCCCUCCUGACCAGGUUGGCCACGUUCUCGGGGGUCAG